rnacentral:rRNA from 1 species
GACGAACCGUGCGAACGUUGUUCGGAAUCACUGGGCUUAAAGGGCGCGUAGGCGGGCUUGAUAGUCCGUGGUGAAAGCCCCCGGCUUAACCGGGGAAGUGCCAUGGAUACUGCAAGCCUGGAGGAGGGUAGGGGCAUCUGGAACGCUGGGUGGAGCGGUGAAAUGCGUUGAUAUCCAGCGGAACUCCGGUGGCGAAGGCGAGGUGCUGGACCCUUUCUGACGCUGAAGCGCGAAAGCCAGGGGAGCGAACGGG